rnacentral:rRNA from 1 species
UACGGGGGGGGCAAGCGUUGUUCGGAAUUACUGGGCGUAAAGGGCUCGUAGGCGGCCAACUAAGUCGGACGUGAAAUCCCCAGGCUCAACCUGGGAACUGCGUCCGAUACUGGAUGGCUUGAAUUCGGGAGAGGGAUGCAGAAUUCCAGGUGUAGCGGUGAAAUGCGUAGAUAUCUGGAGGAAUACCGGUGGCGAAGGCGGCAUCCUGGACCGACAUUGACGCUGAUGAGCGAAAGCUAGGGGAGCGAAUGGG